UUGGUAGCCCAGAGAUGGAAGUCCUCUAUUUUUAUCCACAGAUCAGGUACAGCACAAACAGUGGCUUCCUCCCUUCACACACGAUUUUGCCAAUACACUUCACCCUAAAAUAGUGACCCAUUCUGUAGGGAUAGCAGGGAGUUCAGUCUUCAAAUUUAUCAGUCCUUCAUCUCU
rnacentral:sRNA from 1 species